rnacentral:rRNA from 1 species
CCUACGGGCGGCAGCAGUCGAGAAUCAUUCACAAUGGGGGAAACCCUGAUGGUGCGACGCCGCGUGGGGGAAUGAAGGUCUUCGGAUUGUAAACCCCUGUCAUGUGGGAGCAAAUUAAAAAGAUAGUACCACAAGAGGAAGAGACGGCUAACUCUGUGCCAGCAGCCGCGGUAAUACAGAGGUCUUAAGCGUUGUUCGGAAUCACUGGGCGUAAAGCGUGCGUAGGCUGUUUCGUAAGUCGUGUGUGAAAGGUGCGGGCUCAACCCGCGGACGGCACAUGAUACUGCGAGAAUAGAGUAAUGGAGGGGGAACCGGAAUUCGCGGUGUAGCAGUGAAAUGCGUAGAUAUCGAGAGGAACACUCGUGGCGAAGGCGGGUUCCUGGACAUUAACUGACGCUGAGGCACGAAGGCCAGGGGAGCGAAAGGGAUUAGAUACCCCUGUAGUC